AGCUGGUCUGAGUGCAGUGGUGUUUACAACCAACCACAACCAGUUACAAAUUUCUUUGUUCCUUCUCCACUCCUACUGCUUCACUUGACCUUAA
rnacentral:Y_RNA from 1 species